ensembl:lncRNA
AUCUCAUCUGGAGAUCCCUGCCUGCUUGAAGUCUUCUGAAGGGCCUCAAUGUUAUCAAUGCACUCACAGAGAUGCUGCUGAUGUGGAAACAACGUGGAAUUACAUACAGUACUUUUGCAGAUAGAUCAUUUCAGCUGCAUCUUUCACAAAGCACAGCCAAGGAGACAGGUGUUUUAUCACUGUGUUGAGGGAGACAGAUGACCCCAAUCUAAACUUGCAUGCUCACCACUGGUGCAUCUGUCUUGUAUCUAGGCAGCAAAUCCUCACAGAGACCCUUGAGAAGGUUGAAAUAGCCUUCCCAUAAGCUCGUCUCCAUGCCCCAGGAGUGCUGAUUGCACUUUCCUUGGGAAGGGCUUUAUCUGGACCUAAGAACUCAUACUUAAUGGGCAAGUGCUUGCAGCACAUACCUUUCCCUCGGGGACCUUCCUUCAGUGUGUUUGGUUCCUGAAGGAAAGACAACCAAAACUUGCAAACACUUUGUGCCAAGGUGCAAGAAAGCAACAAGGAAGAGCACUAUGAAAGCUUUGCCAGAUGGGAAAGCUCUUCAUCACGCUCUUCACCAAGAGCUCAAGUAAAUUUUCAGCCGCGUGGGAAGAAAACUUCCCUGAUGUGAAGCAAUUGUGAACAAGGCUCCAUAAUGUGAUGCAUUGCCCGAAAUAAGAAUGCUGAGCCCUGCUUCUGAUCCUGGACAUAGCAGCAUAGAAUGGGAACAAUGUGAUCAAAGCCACAAGAACAGCAGGGCCAUCAGGAACACCUGGUAAUAUGCACUAAUGAAAUCUGGACCAAAUGGGUUUGAGACACCUCCCAUUUGCUGCUAUUUCAGUCUGUGAAGGGAUAGCCAGCUGCUAUGGAGAUGUUCCUGAAAUGCCUGCAGGAACUAUAGCCACAGUCCCUGGUGAGAGACCCUAUGGAGCGCAGUGCUGUUUGCACAGGUUUUGAAGCAUUCAAGCACAGAACAGCUUACCGUAAAGCAUCUAAUGAGAUCAAGGAUUUGCCCAUUUGCUCUCACUUAGGAAAAGCUGAUUUCAGCCAAAUUAACCGUGUUAAUAUUAAAGACAUCUCGC